CUAAGCCAUCAGGUGAAGAAGUUUGACUACCCUGAGGCUGCUGUGCAGGGAAGGUCACAUGUGGUCAUUGUAACCAGCCGUGAUGGUUGAGCUCACCCUGCAAGACUUCCCCACCAAGGUGCCAGGCACAUGAGUGACAACAUCUUCUUGGAAGUGGCUGUUGCAGCUCCAGCUGUUCAGUCCCACCCGUUAGAGUCACCCCAGUCUCUCCAGGCCUGAUCUUCCAUAAGAAGAGACUUGAUCACAUGGGAAGACCUAUAACAACAGAGCUACAAAAGUGUUUCCCAACUGAGAUCACCAAUGGGCAGCUUAGAUACCAGAGCCCUCCGUGGGAGUGAAACUUAAGAAGGGCACAGGGAGGCCACUGGCAAACUGAGCAGUCAGUAGUAUUGAACAAGGAAGAACUGCAUUUACUGUUAGUCCAAAGGAGAGAGGACAGCAUGGAGAGGAGGCAUAGAGCCAGCACAUCCAGUUAACCAGGAUAAAUGAUUAAAAAGAACUUUGUAAAAAUGCUGAACUAAAUUCGCUAUCACCAAAUAUGGGAAUCUCUGAUGCCAGCUAUCUUGCUCAUGUGAAAUGCAAUGACAAGAUCCAAAUUGCGAGAAAAGGAAUCCAACUUGGUUGGGAUAGGAGAGACAAAACAAAAACAAAGAAUCUUUGGCAUACGAAUCAUUCCUGUUUGGAAAUAUUUCUAAAGAUUGAAGUUAGGCCAAUAGUGCACCUAACAGCACAAUUUGCAGGCUGCCAAUGAACAGCGAUGGAACUAAAUCCAGCAGCUCAAAGUGGGAGAAAAUUGAACGGGCAGAGUCUACCUUCUGAAGAUGUUCCUCUUAUCGCAGCUUCCUGAGACAUUCCAGGAUGAUGAAUUCCAAAUUAUGUACAGCCAUAGGAAGAAAAAUAUUUGGCCAGCUGUGGACAUUAGAUUUACUUAUCUGCAACCUAUUUCCAGCUUUGGAACAAUUUCUGCUUCUACCUUAAAACUCACCACAGCCCAGGAGUUUAAGACUCUUAUAUGAAAGUGUCUUAGGAUAGUAUAUUUUUUGAA